UUUUCGCAAUGCCCGAAAGGGUGACGAAGCGACGCCGCGUGGGUGAGGAAGGCCUUCGGGUUGUAAAACCCUGUCAGGAGUUAUGAAAUGUAAGUACGCUAAUAUCGUGCUUAUUUGACAAAGGCUCCAAAGGAAGCCACGGCUAACUCUGUGCCAGCAGCCGCGGUAAUACAGAGGUGGCGAGCGUUGUUCGGAAUUAUUGGGCGUAAAGAGCACGUAGGUGGGUUUGCAAGUCAGAUGUGAAAGCCUUCUGUUCAACGGAAGAAUUGCAUCUGAAACUGCUAAUCUUGAGUAUAGGAGGGGAGAAUGGAACUUCUGGUGGAGCGGUGAAAUGCGUAGAUAUCAGAAGGAACGCCGGCGGCGAAAGCGAUUCUCUGGCCUAUUACUGACACUCAGUGUGCGAAAGCUAGGGGAGCAAACGGGAUUAGAUACCCCGGUAGUCCUAGCCGUAAACGAUGGGCACUAAGUAGAGGGGUU
rnacentral:rRNA from 1 species